GUAUUCCCAGGAGUUCCCUUGACCACUUCAUGAGGGCUUACUUCGUUGCAUAAAGCCCUGCUGAAGUGUUUGGGGGAACUUCGGGGUUCAU
rnacentral:pre_miRNA from 1 species